rnacentral:rRNA from 1 species
UACGUAGGCAGCAAGCGUUGUUCGGAAUUACUGGGCGUAAAGAGUGUGUAGGCGGUGCCCUAAGUUUGGUGUGAAAUCUCCCGGCUUAACCGGGAGGGUGCGCCGAAUACUGAGGGACUAGAGUACGGGAGAGGAAAGUGGAAGUUCCUGGUGUAGCGGUGAAAUGCGUAGAUAUCAGGAGGAACACCGGUGGUGUAGACGGCUUUCUGGACCGUAACUGACGCUGAGACACGAAAGCGUGGGUAGCAAACAGG